AGUGAACGCUGGCGGUAGGCCUAACACAUGCCAGUCGAACGGCAGCACAGUAAGAGCUUGCUCUUACGGGUGGCGAGUGGCGGACGGGUGAGGAAUACAUCGGAAUCUACUUUUUCGUGGGGGAUAACGUAGGGAAACUUACGCUAAUACCGCAUACGACCUACGGGUGAAAGCAGGGGAUCUUCGGAUCUUGCGCGAUUGAAUGAGCCGAUGUCGGAUUAGCUAGUUGGCGGGGUAAAGGCCCACCAAGGCGACGAUCCGUAGCUGGUCUGAGAGGAUGAUCAGCCACACUGGAACUGAGACACGGUCCAGACUCCUACGGGAGGCAGCAGUGGGGAAUAUUGGACAAUGGGCGGAAGCCUGAUCCAGCCAUACCGCGUGGGUGAAGAAGGCCUUCGGGUUGUAAAGCCCUUUUGUUGGGAAAGAAAAGCAGCAGGUUAAUACCCCGCUGUUCUGACGGUACCCAAAGAAUAAGCACCGGCUAACUUCGUG
rnacentral:rRNA from 1 species